UACGUAGGGUGCAAGCGUUGUCCGGAAUUAUUGGGCGUAAAGAGCUCGUAGGCGGUUUGUCGCGUCUGCUGUGAAAACCCGAGGCUCAACCUUGGGCUUGCAGUGGGUACGGGCAGACUAGAGUGCGGUAGGGGUGACUGGAAUUCCUGGUGUAGCGGUGGAAUGCGCAGAUAUCAGGAGGAACACCGAUGGCGAAGGCAGGUCACUGGGCCGCAACUGACGCUGAGGAGCGACAGCGUGGGGAGCAAACAGG
rnacentral:rRNA from 1 species